AAAAACAUACUCAAGUAAAUCCAAGACCACUAGCUUUGAAGAACAACAAAAAAGGAUGGGUUAAAAGACAAGUAAAAGAGAGCUCAUGGUUGCUGGAGGAUGGAUUAAGGUGCUUGGGUCGAUUCUCAAGAUGGUGACUUUUGGUGGUGCUGCCCAGGACCCAACUAAGGAUUAGCAGGAAGGUCUUGUUAUGGUCUCCGAUCUCGUACAAAUCGAUCGACGAUUGAACCUUGAUUUGUGGGCGUGUUUCUGUUUUGUGGGCGUGUUUCUUAAGGGGAUUAACAGCAGAUUAGCGGUAGGAGUAGGAGAAAAAGGAAAGGAACAAGACUGAGAUAGACAAAACUCAUAAGAAGACGAGAGAAGCAGAGCAGUUUUAUUUUGGUCUGUGAAGGCGUGGGUCUUAGGGAAUUAGGAGGAGACAAGCCUAAAAUAAAGUUUUUUAGGGUAGAAUUUGUAAAAUUUUUUUAAAAAUUUUUAAAAAUUUAAAUUGAUAGAUUGG
rnacentral:lncRNA from 1 species